rnacentral:rRNA from 1 species
GAGAUGUUGGGUUAAGUCCCGCAACGAGCGCAACCCUUGUCAUUAGUUGCUACAUUUAGUUGGGCACUCUAAUGAGACUGCCGGUGACAAACCGGAGGAAGGUGGGGAUGACGUCAAGUCCUCAUGGCCCUUAUAGGUGGGGCUACACACGUCAUACAAUGGCUGGUACARAGGGUUGCCAACCCGCGAGGGGGAGCUAAUCCCAUAAAGCCAGUCGUAGUCCGGAUCGCAGUCUGCAACUCGACUGCGUGAAGUCGGAAUCGCUAGUAAUCGCGGAUCA